rnacentral:rRNA from 1 species
UACGUAGGUGGCAAGCGUUAUCCGGAAUUAUUGGGCGUAAAGGGUGCGUAGGCGGUUUAUUAAGUCUGAUGUGAAAGCCCGUGGCUCAACCACGGUGUGCAUUGGAAACUGGUAAACUUGAGUGUAAGAGAGGCAAGUGGAAUUCCAUGUGUAACGGUAAAAUGUGCAGAUAUAUGGAGGAACACCAGUGGCGAAGGCGGCUUGCUGGCUUACAACUGACGCUGAGGCACGACAGCGUGGGGAGCAAAUAGG